UACGUAGGGCGCAAGCGUUGUCCGGAAUUAUUGGGCGUAAAGAGCUCGUAGGCGGUCUGUCGCGUCGGAUGUGAAAGCCCGGGGCUUAACCCCGGGUCUGCAUUCGAUACGGGCAGACUAGAGUGUGGUAGGGGAGAUCGGAAUUCCUGGUGUAGCGGUGAAAUGCGCAGAUAUCAGGAGGAACACCGGUGGCGAAGGCGGGUCUCUGGGCCGUAACUGACGCUGAGGAGCGAAAGCAUGGGGAGCGAACAGG
rnacentral:rRNA from 1 species